rnacentral:rRNA from 1 species
GAUGAACGCUGGCGGCGUGCCUAAUACAUGCAAGUCGAGCGAACAGACGAGGAGCUUGCUCCUCUGACGUUAGCGGCGGACGGGUGAGUAACACGUGGAUAACCUACCUAUAAGACUGGGAUAACUUCGGGAAACCGGAGCUAAUACCGGAUAAUAUAUUGAACCGCAUGGUUCAAUACUGAAAGACGGUUUUGCUGUCACUUAUAGAUGGAUCCGCGCCGCAUUAGCUAGUUGGUAAGGUAACGGCUUACCAAGGCAACGAUGCGUAGCCGACCUGAGAGGGUGAUCGGCCACACUGGAACUGAGACACGGUCCAGACUCCUACGGGAGGCAGCAGUAGGGAAUCUUCCGCAAUGGGCGAAAGCUUGACGGAGCAACGCCGCGUGAGUGAUGAAGGUCUUCGGAUCGUAAAACUCUGUUAUUAGGGAAGAACAAAUGUGUAAGUAACUAUGCACGUCUUGACGGUACCUAAUCAGAAAGCCACGGCUAACUACGUG